rnacentral:rRNA from 1 species
CCUACGGGUGGCAGCAGUGGGGGAUAUUGCUCAAUGGGGGGAACCCUGAUGCAGCGACGCCGCGUGGGUGAUGGAGGGCUUCGGCAUGUAAACCCCUAUUGGUAGGGAAGAAGAUGACGGUAUCUGACCAAGAAGCACCGGCUAACUACGUGCCAGCAGCCGCGGUAAUACGGAGGGGGCAAGCGUUACUCGGAAUCACUGGGCGUAAAGGGGGCGUAGGCGGGAUAGCAAGUCAGGUGUGAAAGCCUAUGGCUUAACCACAGAACUGCACUUGAAACUGGAAGGCUAGAGUAUGGGAGAGGCAGGUGGAAUUCCUGGUGUAGGGGUAAAAUGCGUAGAUAUUAAGAGGAACACCCAUUGCGAAGGCGACCUGCUGGACCAUAACUGACGUUGAGGCGCGAAAGCGUGGGGAGCAAACAGGAUUAGAUACCCGAGUAGUC